rnacentral:tRNA from 4 species
GCGGGAUUAGUUUAUCGGUAAAAUAACAGUUUUCCAAACUGUGGUGACCGGUUCGACUCCGGUAUCCCGCA